rnacentral:rRNA from 1 species
UACGUAGGUGGCAAGCGUUGUCCGGAUUUAUUGGGCGUAAAGCGCGCGCAGGCGGUCUCUUAAGUCUGAUGUGAAAGCCCACGGCUCAACCGUGGAGGGUCAUUGGAAACUGGGAGACUUGAGUGCAGAAGAGGAGAGUGGAAUUCCACGUGUAGCGGUGAAAUGCGUAGAGAUGUGGAGGAACACCAGUGGCGAAGGCGACUCUCUGGUCUGUAACUGACGCUGAGGCGCGAAAGCGUGGGGAGCGAACAGG